GAGUUUGAUCCUGGCUCAGAACGUACGCUGGCGGCACGCCUAACACAUGCAAGUCGAACGAAGUAGCAAUACUUAGUGGCAGACGGGUGAGUAACAUGUGGGUAUCUACCCUUUGGCCUGGAAUAACACGAGGAAACUUGUGCUAAUACCGGAUAAGUCUUUACGGAGAAAGCUUUAUGCACCAUUGGAUGAGCCCGCACUUGAUUAGUUUGUUGGUAGGGUAAUGGCCUACCAAGACUAUGAUCAAUAGCUGAUUUGAGAGGAUGAUCAGCCACAUUGGGACUGAGACACGGCCCAAACUCCUACGGGAGGCAGCAGUGGGGAAUCUUGCACAAUGGAGGAAACUCUGAUGCAGCGAUGCCGCGUGAGUGAAGAAGGCCUUUGGGUUGUAAAGCUCUUUCGUCGGGGAAGAAAAUGACUGUACCCGAAUAAGAAGGUCCGGCUAACUUCGUGCCAGCAGCCGCGGUAAUACGAAGGGACCUAGCGUAGUUCGGAAUUACUGGGCUUAAAGAGUUCGUAGGUGGUUGAAAAAGUUGGUGGUGAAAUCCCAGAGCUUAACUCUGGAACUGCCAUCAAAACUUUUCAGCUAGAGUAUGAUAGAGGAAAGCAGAAUUUCUAGUGUAGAGGUGAAAUUCGUAGAUAUUAAUUUUUUUCAGUGUCGCAGGGAAACCGAUAAACACACCGCCUGGGGAGUACGACCGCAAGGUUAAAACUCAAAUGAAUUGACGGGGACCCGCACAAGUAGUGGAGCAUGUGGUUUAAUUCGAAGAUACGCGCAGAACCUUACCAACACUUGACAUGUUCGUCGCGACUCUAAGAGAUUAGAGUUUUCGGUUCGGCCGGACGAAACACAGGUGCUGCAUGGCUGUCGUCAGCUCGUGUCGUGAGAUGUUGGGUUAAGUCCCGCAACGAGCGCAACCCUCACUUUUAGUUGCCAUCAUUAAGUUGGGCACUCUGAAAGAACUGCCAGUGAUAAGCUGGAGGAAGGUGGGGAUGACGUCAAGUCCUCAUGGCCCUUACGUGUUGGGCUACACACGUGCUACAAUGGCAUCUACAACAGGAAGCAAAACGGCAACGUUAAGCAAAUCCCGAAAAGAUGCCUCAGUUCGGAUUGCACUCUGCAACUCGAGUGCAUGAGGCUGGAAUUACUAGUAAUCGUGGAUCAGCGUGCCACGGUGAAUGCGUUCCCGGGUCUUGUACACACCGCCCGUCACACCAUGGGAGUUGGUUCUACCUUAAGGCAAGGUUUUAAACCCUUGACCACGGUAUAGUCAGCGACUGGGGUGAAGUCGUAACAAGGUAGCCGUAGGGGAACCUGCGGCUGGAUCACCUCCUUUCU
rnacentral:rRNA from 1 species